UACGUAGGUGGCAAGCGUUGUUCGGAAUUACUGGGCGUAAAGGGAGUGUAGGCGGUUUAGUAAGAUAGUGGUGAAAUCCCAGAGCUUAACUUUGGAAUUGCCAUUAUAACUAUUAGACUAGAAUUACAGAGAGGAUAGUGGAAUACCCAGUGUAGAGGUGAAAUUCGUAGAUAUUGGGUAGAACACCAGUGGCGAAGGCGACUAUCUGGCUGUACAUUGACGCUGAGGCUCGAAAGCAUGGGGAUCAAACAGG
rnacentral:rRNA from 1 species